AGAGAGGUAGCUGAUAAAAUAUGAAUCUGGUCCCCAAAAAGGAAGACAUGGCGAAAGGAAUGCUGGGUACAAAGGUUCUGAACUUCACGUGGACAAGGUUGCAUCUUACUCAUAUCUCUGUCACCUGAAACACUUGGCACAGCAUGUGGACCACAGUGGCUCCUUGGAAUAACUCAACUGGUCAACUGGUCCUGACCUGAAGGAUUUUUACGCCAAACAUUACAGCAUUUUCUGAAUUUGGAAGAAGUGAAAUUCUUACCAGCUUUCUUUAUAUACAAGGUCUGGUUGGUC
rnacentral:lncRNA from 1 species